rnacentral:piRNA from 1 species
UGCAAUGCCACGCGUGGUGACCUCA